CCCUGAAACCAUGCGCCUACAAGCGGUCGGAGCAUGUUAAAAUGUGACGGCGUGCCUUUUGCAUAAUGAACCUACGAGUUACUCUCGCUGGCAAGGUUAAGCGGUUCAGCCGCGCAGCCGAAGCGAAAGCAAGUCCGAACAAGGCGUACAGUCAGCGGGAGUAGACGCGAAACCAAGUGAUCUACCCUUGGUCAGGUUGAAGGUUGGGUAACACCAACUGGAGGACCGCACCGAUAAGCGUUGAAAAGCUUACGGAUGAACUGAGGGUAGGAGUGAAAGGCCAAUCAAACUUGGAGAUAGCUCGUACUCCCCGAAAUGUAUUUAGGUGCAGCCUCGGAGAGAAUCUGACGGAGGUAGAGCGACUGAUAGGAUGCGAGGGCUUCACCGCCUAUCAAGUCCUGACAAACUCCGAAUGCACGUCGGCCAAGCCAUGGAGUAAGGGCAUGGGUGCUAAGGUCCGUGCCCGAGAGGAGAAGAAUCCAGACCACCGGCUAAGGUCCCGAAAUACUGGUUAAGUUAGACUAACGCAGUCCGGCCCCCAAGACAGCUAGGAUGUUGGCUUGGAAGCAGCCAUUCAUUCAAAGAGUGCGUAACAGCUCACUAGUCGAGGAGCUGGGCGUGGAUAAUAAUCGGGUAUAAAACCAGUUACCGAAGCCGUGGGAUGCUUAAGCAUCGGUAGGGGAGCAUUGCAUGCGGCUUAGAAGGCGGGGCGCGAGCCCCUCUGGAGCGCAUGGAAACGCAAAUGUAGGUAUAAGUAACGACAAGGGGGGUGGGAUGCCCCCCCGCCGAAAGACCAAGGUUUCCUGAACAACGCUAAUCGGUUCAGGGUCAGUCGGGUCCUAAGCAUAAGCCGUAUGGCGAGGGCGAUGGAUGAAACGGUUAAUAUUCCGUUACUGUCUUGGUGUGUGACGCGGCGACGGAGUAGUGACACGGCCGCCUCCUGACGGAAAAGGGGGUUGAAGCGCAAAGGUGUCGAGGAAGGCAGGCAAAUCCACCUUCCGAGCCGAAGCGCGAUAGUACGCCGCGCCCUUUUGGGCAAGGCGAUAGUGCCGGUAAUCAGACUUCCAAGAAAACCCGCUAAACUUCAGCACCAAGUCACCCGUACUCUAAACGGACACACGUGGUCGGGUAGAAUAUACUAAGGCGCUUGGGAGAUUCACGGUUAAGGAACUAGGCAAAUUGACCCCGUACCUUCGGAAUAAGGGGUCCUCGCUUUUGCGAGGCGCAGAGAAUAGGUCCAGGCAACUGUUUAACAAAAACACAGGGCUGUGCAAAAUUGAAAGAUGAAGUAUACAGCCUGACACCUGCCCGGUGCUGGAAGGUUAAGAGGAGAUGUCAUCGCAAGAGAAGCAUUGAAUUGAAGCCCCAGUAAACGGCGGCCGUAACUAUAACGGUCCUAAGGUAGCGAAAUUCCUUGUCGGGUAAGUUCCGACCUGCACGAAUGGUGUAAUGAUCUGGACGCUGUCUCAACCGUGAGCUCAGUGAAAUUGUAGUAUCGGUGAAGAUGCCGAUUACCCGCGAUGGGACGAAAAGACCCCGUGAACCUUUACUAUAGCUUAACAUUGAAUUUGGGUAAUUGAUGUGUAGGAUAGGCCGGAGGCUUCGAAGCAGGUACGCCAGUAUUUGUGGAGCCGCUGUUGAAAUACGGCCCUUUGAUUAUUUGAGUUCUAACCCGUUGAUGCGGGGACACUGUUUGGUGGGUAGUUUGACUGGGGUGGUCGCCUCCAAAAGUGUAACGGAGGCUUCUAAAGGUGCCCUCACGACGAUUGGUAACCGUCGGCAGAGUGUAAUGGCAUAAGGGCGCUUGACUGGGAGACUUACAAGUCGAUCAGGUAGGAAACUAGAGCAUAGUGAUCCGGUGUUUCUGUAUGGAAAGGACAUCGCUCAAAGGAUAAAAGGUACUCCGGGGAUAACAGGCUGAUCCCUCCCAAGAGCUCAUAUCGACGGAGGGGUUUGGCACCUCGAUGUCGGCUCGUCACAUCCUGGGGCUGGAGAAGGUCCCAA
rnacentral:rRNA from 1 species